GAUGAACGCUGGCGGCGUGCCUAAUACAUGCAAGUCGAGCGAACGGACGAGAAGCUUGCUUCUCUGAUGUUAGCGGCGGACGGGUGAGUAACACGUGGAUAACCUACCUAUAAGACUGGGAUAACUUCGGGAAACCGGAGCUAAUACCGGAUAAUAUUUUGAACCGCAUGGUUCAAAAGUGAAAGACGGUCUUGCUGUCACUUAUAGAUGGAUCCGCGCUGCAUUAGCUAGUUGGUAAGGUAACGGCUUACCAAGGCAACGAUGCAUAGCCGACCUGAGAGGGUGAUCGGCCACACUGGAACUGAGACACGGUCCAGACUCCUACGGGAGGCAGCAGUAGGGAAUCUUCCGCAAUGGGCGAAAGCCUGACGGAGCAACGCCGCGUGAGUGAUGAAGGUCUUCGGAUCGUAAAACUCUGUUAUUAGGGAAGAACAUAUGUGUAAGUAACUGUGCACAUCUUGACGGUACCUAAUCAGAAAGCCACGGCUAACUACGUGCCAGCAGCCGCGGUAAUACGUAGGUGGCAAGCGUUAUCCGGAAUUAUUGGGCGUAAAGCGCGCGUAGGCGGUUUUUUAAGUCUGAUGUGAAAGCCCACGGCUCAACCGUGGAGGGUCAUUGGAAACUGGAGAACUUGAGUGCAGAAGAGGAAAGUGGAAUUCCAUGUGUAGCGGUGAAAUGCGCAGAGAUAUGGAGGAACACCAGUGGCGAAGGCGACUUUCUGGUCUGUAACUGACGCUGAUGUGCGAAAGCGUGGGGAUCAAACAGGAUUAGAUACCCUGGUAGUCCACGCCGUAAACGAUGAGUGCUAAGUGUUAGGGGGUUUCCGCCCCUUAGUGCUGCAGCUAACGCAUUAAGCACUCCGCCUGGGGAGUACGACCGCAAGGUUGAAACUCAAAGGAAUUGACGGGGACCCGCACAAGCGGUGGAGCAUGUGGUUUAAUUCGAAGCAACGCGAAGAACCUUACCAAAUCUUGACAUCUUUUGACAACUCUAGAGAUAGAGCCUUCCCCUUCGGGGGACAAAGUGACAGGUGGUGCAUGGUUGUCGUCAGCUCGUGUCGUGAGAUGUUGGGUUAAGUCCCGCAACGAGCGCAACCCUUAAGCUUAGUUGCCAUCAUUAAGUUGGGCACUCUAAGUUGACUGCCGGUGACAAACCGGAGGAAGGUGGGGAUGACGUCAAAUCAUCAUGCCCCUUAUGAUUUGGGCUACACACGUGCUACAAUGGACAAUACAAAGGGCAGCGAAACCGCGAGGUCAAGCAAAUCCCAUAAAGUUGUUCUCAGUUCGGAUUGUAGUCUGCAACUCGACUACAUGAAGCUGGAAUCGCUAGUAAUCGUAGAUCAGCAUGCUACGGUGAAUACGUUCCCGGGUCU
rnacentral:rRNA from 1 species